CCUGGUUGAUCCUGCCAGUAGUCAUAUGCUUGUCUCAAAGAUUAAGCCAUGCAUGUCUAAGUACAUGCCGUAUUAAGGCGAAACCGCGAAUGGCUCAUUAAAUCAGUUAUGGUUCCUUGGAUCGUACCUUACUACUUGGAUAACUGUGGCAAUUCUAGAGCUAAUACAUGCAGCAGAGCUCCGACCCUCUGGGGACGAGCGCUUUUAUUAGACCAAAACCAAUCGGACCUCGUGUCCGUAUUAUGUGGUGACUCUGUAUAACUUUGGGCUGAUCGCACGGGCUCGUCCCGGCGACGUAUCUUUCAAGUGUCUGCCUUAUCAACUGUCGAUGGUAGGUUACGCGCCUACCAUGGUCGUAACGGGUGACGGGGAAUCAGGGUUCGAUUCCGGAGAGGGAGCCUGAGAAACGGCUACCACAUCCAAGGAAGGCAGCAGGCGCGCAAAUUACCCACUCCCAGAACGGGGAGGUAGUGACGAAAAAUAACAAUACGGGACUCUUUUGAGACCCCGUAAUUGGAAUGAGUACACUCUAAAUCCUUUAACGAGGAUCAAUUGGAGGGCAAGUCUGGUGCCAGCAGCCGCGGUAAUUCCAGCUCCAAUAGCGUAUAUUAAAGUUGUUGCGGUUAAAAAGCUCGUAGUUGGAUCUCAGUUCCAGACGGGUGGUCCGCCUACCGGUGGUUACUGCCUGUUCUGAACAGCCAGCCGGUUUCUCUUGAUGAUCUUCACCGGUUGUCUUGGGUGACCGGCAAGUUUACUUUGAAAAAAUUAGAGUGCUCAAAGCAGGCGUGACGCCUGAAUAAUGGUGCAUGGAAUAAUGGAAUAGGACCUCGGUUCUAUUUUGUUGGUUUUCGGAAUACGAGGUAAUGAUUAAGAGGGACAGACGGGGGCAUUCGUAUUGCGACGCUAGAGGUGAAAUUCUUGGACCGUCGCAAGACGAACUACUGCGAAAGCAUUUGCCAAGAAUGUUUCCAUUAAUCAAGAACGAAAGUUAGAGGUUCGAAGGCGAUCAGAUACCGCCCUAGUUCUGAGAGUUCUGCGCAUGCUCGCGCCAUAUUGGUUGACGAGUUUCUUGGCUCUUCAUAAAAGUUUAAUUUUUGUGGUAAAUAUGCAGAAUAAUUUUGUUAUUUUGUGAUUUUCGUAUGUGUUUUGUG
rnacentral:rRNA from 1 species